rnacentral:miRNA from 1 species
UGACUUCUACCUCUUCCAAAG